rnacentral:rRNA from 1 species
UACGGAGGGUGCAAGCGUUAUCCGGAAUGAUUGGGCGUAAAGCGUCCGCAGGUGGCGAUGUAUGUCUGCUGUUAAAGAGUGAGGCUCAACCUCAUAAGAGCAGUGGAAACUACAUAGCUAGAGUACGUUCGGGGCAGAGGGAAUUCCUGGUGUAGCGGUGAAAUGCGUAGAGAUCAGGAAGAACACCAGUGGCGAAGGCGCUCUGCUAGGCCGUAACUGACACUGAGGGACGAAAGCUAGGGGAGCGAAUGGG